rnacentral:rRNA from 1 species
AAUGGGCGCAAGCCUGAUGCAGCCAUGCCGCGUGUGUGAUGAAGGCCUUAGGGUUGUAAAACACUUUCAUCGGUGAAGAUAAUGACGGUAGCCGAAGAAGAAGCCCCGGCUAACUCCGUGCCAGCAGCCGCGGUAAUACGGAGGGGGCAAGCGUUGUUCGGAAUUACUGGGCGUAAAGCGCACGUAGGCGGACUGAUCAGUUGGGGGUGAAAUCCCGAGGCUUAACCUCGGAACUGCCUUCAAUACUGUCAGUCUUGAGAUCGGAAGAGGUGAGUGGAAUUCCUAGUGUAGAGGUGAAAUUCGUAGAUAUUAGGAAGAACACCAGUGGCGAAGGCGGCUCACUGGUCCGAUACUGACGCUGAGGUGCGAAAGCGUGGGGAGCGAACAGGAUU